rnacentral:rRNA from 1 species
UGGCUCAGAUUGAACGCUAGCGGGAUGCCUUACACAUGCAAGUCGAACGGCAGCACGGACUUCGGUCUGGUGGCGAGUGGCGAACGGGUGAGUAAUGUAUCGGAACGUGCCUAGUAGCGGGGGAUAACUACGCGAAAGCGUAGCUAAUACCGCAUACGCCCUACGGGGGAAAGCAGGGGAUCGUAAGACCUUGCACUAUUAGAGCGGCCGAUAUCGGAUUAGCUAGUUGGUGGGGUAAUGGCUCACCAAGGCGACGAUCCGUAGCUGGUUUGAGAGGACGACCAGCCACACUGGGACUGAGACACGGCCCAGACUCCUACGGGAGGCAGCAGUGGGGAAUUUUGGACAAUGGGGGAAACCCUGAUCCAGCCAUCCCGCGUGUGCGAUGAAGGCCUUCGGGUUGUAAAGCACUUUUGGCAGGAAAGAAACGCCGCGGGUUAAUACCCUGCGGAACUGACGGUACCUGCAGAAUAAGCACCGGCUAACUACGUGCCAGCAGCCGCGGUAAUACGUAGGGUGCAAGCGUUAAUCGGAAUUACUGGGCGUAAAGCGUGCGCAGGCGGUUCGGAAAGAAAGAUGUGAAAUCCCAGAGCUUAACUUUGGAACUGCAUUUUUAACUACCGAGCUAGAGUGUGUCAGAGGGAGGUGGAAUUCCGCGUGUAGCAGUGAAAUGCGUAGAUAUGCGGAGGAACACCGAUGGCGAAGGCAGCCUCCUGGGAUAACACUGACGC